UAACAGAAAAAUUGUUCCGUCGUAUUUCCUUCUGAUUACCUUGCUAUAAAUAAUGGAUUUGUUAAAUAUAACCAAUUGUUUUUAAUGCAAUAUAUUGGGUUUUUGCCUGUAAAGGACUUCACUAUGCUAUUCGGGAUUAACACGAUCAAUUAUCUCACGAUUUCAAUAAUUUAAAAAAGACUGGUCUGACCGUAUUGUUUGAUAGAACUCAAACUUUGUUGUUUUCGUGCUCUUUUUUUAUUGCGCGAAUUAACAAUCGGAAGUAGCUU
rnacentral:misc_RNA from 1 species